rnacentral:rRNA from 1 species
CCACAUCCAAGGAAGGCAGCAGGCGCGCAAAUUACCCAAUCCCGACACGGGGAGGUAGUGACAAUAAAUAACAAUAUAGGGCUCUUUCGGGUCUUAUAAUUGGAAUGAGUACAAUUUAAAUCCCUUAACGAGGAACAAUUGGAGGGCAAGUCUGGUGCCAGCAGCCGCGGUAAUUCCAGCUCCAAUAGCGUAUAUUAAAGUUGUUGCAGUUAAAAAGCUCGUAGUUGAACUUCAGACCUGGUCGGGCGGUCCGCUUAACGGCGUGUACUGUCUGACUGGGCCUUACCUCUUGGUGAGCCGGCGUGCCCUUUAUUGGUGUGCGUCGGGGAACCAGGACUUUUACCUUGAGAAAAUUAGAGUGUUCAAAGCAGGCUUAUGCUCGAAUACAUUAGCAUGGAAUAAUAAAAUAGGACGUGCGGUUCUAUUUUGUUGGUUUCUAGAAUCGCCGUAAUGAUUAAUAGGGAUGGUUGGGGGCAUUGGUAUUGAGUCGCUAGAGGUGAAAUUCUUGGAUUGACUCAAGACCAACUACUGCGAAAGCAUUUGCCAAGGAUGUUUUCAUUAAUCAAGAACGAAGGUUAGGGGAUCGAAAACGAUCAGAUACCGUUGUAGUCUUAACAGUAAACUAUGCCGACUAGGGAUCGGGCGACCUCAAAUAAAAUGUAU